AACUUGGAGCGCGUCCACACACCGGCCACAAUCAUGGUUUGAAUGCAUGACAGAGGAGCCGUGGUAUCCUAGAUCACAUCCCCUCUCUUGGCUCGUCUCCACGCUUGUUUGUGGCUCUUCCAAGCUCCGCGACAUCAAACUCAACAUCUCUCGACGGGGUUUGGCUCUGUGAUAGCCACCGCAAGAGCCUCAGCUCCACAACGAGUCCGCAGAUUGACGGACAAUUAAAGAGCGAGAGGCGAAGGCUGGAACGUGUGAUCUAGCGAGAACUU